ACUCAAAUGAAUUGACGGGGACCCGCACAAGCAGCGGAGCAUGUGGUUUAAUUCGAAGCAACGCGAAGAACCUUACCAGGGCUUGACAUCCCUCUGACCGGACGGUAACGCGUCCUUCCCUUCGGGGCAGAGGAGACAGGUGGUGCAUGGUUGUCGUCAGCUCGUGUCGUGAGAUGUUGGGUUAAGUCCCGCAACGAGCGCAACCCUUGUCAUUAGUUGCCAGCGGUUCGGCCGGGCACUCUAGUGAGACUGCCGGGGAUAACUCGGAGGAAGGUGGGGAUGACGUCAAAUCAUCAUGCCCCUUAUGUUCUGGGCUACACACGUGCUACAAUGGCUGGUACAAAGAGACGCAAAACCGCGAGGUGGAGCAAAUCUCAAAAACCAGUCCCAGUUCGGAUUGCAGGCUGCAACCCGCCUGCAUGAAGUCGGAGUUGCUAGUAAUCGUGAAUCAGAAUGUCACGGUGAAUGCGUUCCCGGGUCUUGUACACACCGCCCGU
rnacentral:rRNA from 1 species